rnacentral:rRNA from 1 species
GGCCUACCAUGGUGGUAACGGGUAACGGGGUGUUAGGGCACGACACCGGAGAGGGAGCCUGAGAAACGGCUACCACAUCCAAGGAUGGCAGCAGGCGCGCAAAUUACCCAAUCCCGACACGGGGAGGUAGUGACAAUAAAUAACAAUACGGGGUUCUUUCGGAUCUUGUAAUUGGAAUGAGUACAAUUUAAAUCUCUUAACGAGGAACAAUUGGAGGGCAAGUCUGGUGCCAGCAGCCGCGGUAAUUCCAGCUCCAAUAGCGUAUAUUAAAGUUGUUGCAGUUAAAAAGCUCGUAGUUGAAUUUCGGGAUCAAUUUGCUGGUCGUGCCUUCGGUACGCACUGGUAUUAUUGGUUUCUCCUUUCUGAUGAAUCGCGAUGUCAUUAAUUUGGUGUCGUGGGGAAUCAGGACCGUUACUUUGAAAAAAUUAGAGUGUUUAAAGCAGGCUCACGCUUGAAUACAUUAGCAUGGAAUAAUGAAAUAGGACGUUUGAUUCUAUUUUGUUGGUUUCUAGGAUCGACGUAAUGAUUAAUAGGGAUAGUUGGGGGCAUUAGUAUUCAAUUGUCAGAGGUGAAAUUCUUGGAUUUAUUGAAGACUAACUACUGCGAAAGCAUUUGCCAAGGAUGUUUUCAUUAAUCAAGAACGAAAGUUAGGGGAUCGAAGACGAUCAGAUACCGUCGUAGUCUUAACCAUAAACUAUGCCGACUAGGGAUCGGAUGAUGUUAAUUUUUUAAUGACUCAUUCGGCGCCUUACG